ACUUCUCAUGUUGUUGCACUUACUAACUAUCCUCUUUCUCUUCCCAAACGGUUCCUCUUCUUAUUCUAAAACCGUUUCUAGAUCGUUUCUCUUUCACACACUCGGCUCUCUCCAUCUUUCUGAAUGAAACUCCUUCCUCUCUCUUCGAGCCAAAACGGCGGCGCCUUCACUCUCCUUCUCUGGCGAACUGCUUGCCUUUUCUGUUUCAAUUCAUCUCCUUCUGCUUCGAUUCCGGUCUGAUGCAUCUCCUCUAAUGGUCUUCCGCCUCCGUUCAUUUUCUUCGUUCGCGUUUGAAACCGUGGUGUUCGAUUUUGUACGUUUGAUGAUGAAUGUUGGGUUGAAACAACUCUAAAUCGGCAAAGCUGGGUGAGAUCUUUCCGAGUUUAUGUUGUUUUCUCUUUAAUCUCUCUUCUUCUCUCUCAAACUUUCUGAAGGGUUUGUGAAAUUGAAAAUCAUGAAUAGCUUUUGGGUUUCUUGAUGUUUGUGAUUUCACUGUGUUUGAUGUUUGUGGUUCUUUAACGUGAACAAUGGUAUUUCUCUCACUUUUCUUCAUAUUUUGAAGGAUUUGUAUUUUGAAGAUGAUGAUUUUGUUCAACCAAAGUUUAAAUUGAAUGGAACUCUAACCAUCUUCUUUGGCUUUUAGGAGAUUCAUCCAAUCUGCACAAUCUUCUUACAAGUGCACUAAAACGUGAACUCAAGAACAAGCAGAAAGAAGAGAUUUUCCAGACAAUGGAAGAGGAGAAAUCCAAAAAGUGUAAACAAUUGGCACUGUUAGUUACCCUUGAUUGGUGGUGAAACAUCUCCAAUUAUUGAAGAAGCCGAGUAUUAAAAGGCUUGAACUAUCAGUGACUGGGGUUCUUGGUUUCCGUACCGUACAUCAGAUUUGGGUUUCUCCAAUUAAGCUAACGGAAGAAUUGGCACUGCUGUUGAAUUACGUAUAAGGUUCAAUGUUCCUUCCGUUCAUACCAAUGCAUAUCGUCUAAUCAAUAGUGAGGAUGAUAGCUUGGAAAUGGAAUACUUACUGGAUUCGACCGUAUUCAAAAGUGGCCCUUCAAAGUGGUAAUAUCUCUUUCGUGCCUUUGGAAUCAAACAUACUAUGAGUGAUUGAUUAUUACACUAUAUUUGCAGCCUGCAAAUGGAAUAC